UGUUUGGGGGAUUGGAAGCUAUAAUCACUCUGUUUCAGCGGGAUUUCGGGAGAAGCUACAAGGAUCAGCACUGCACGAAUAGAAGGAUCCUUUACAUGCCCUAUCAACUUUCGAUGGACUUUCUGCACCUACCUUGGUGACCAUGGGUAAUGGGGAAUCAGGGUUCGAUUACAGAGAGGGAGCCUGAGAAACGGCUACCACAUCCAAGGAAGGCGGCAGGCGCGCAAAUUACCCACUCCCGACAAGGUGAGGUAGUGACGACAAAUAACAAUACAGGACUCUUUAGAUGCCUUGUAAUUGUAAUGAGUCCACUUAAAUCCUUUAACUAGGAUCAAUUAGAGGGCAAGUCUGGUGCAGAGCGACUGACCCGUGCGUGCUGCAGCUGAAAC